UUUCGAAAGAUAAAAAAAAACCCCAACGAUUUUUAUAAUCACUAAUUUUUUUUUCCAAAAUUCUGCAAAAUUUAUAAUCUGAGAAAGAUACUCUUUCCUGCACCACACCACACUCUAGAAAUUGUUUUUAAACACCACUUCGUUUGAUGUAAGAAUUUCACUAUCUUUGUAUACUACUUACUAAUCCUCAGUAUUUGUAUUUCCCCACAGUACUCCUUAUUGUCACAGUCACCUUCAAGCACUGCCCAGUACUUUUUCGUGCUCUUAAAAUAUACAUCAUACAAAAUAUACAGCAUUAGUUAAACCUAAACAUCUCUUAGCACUUGCCUAAUCAUCAACAACCUUGUCAUCUGAGUUUUGUAUGGGAUCUCUGAAAAAAUUCAGAGUUCUCUGAAAAAAUUCAGAAAGUUCUCUAAUCUAGAGAAACUUCCCCAGUCACAAGGAUUGUCUUAUUAUACACAGUUAGAUGGAAUUGCCCCAUCUGAAUAAUUGACCAAGGGAAAAACCAAUGCUUAUAUAUAUUAACUAUCCUAUGGUGUUUCGAAGCUGUACAUUGCAAAAUCCAAUCAUGAACUUUGCCUUGAUCAUAUAAUUAAACACAAGAAUUCAUCUGCAUUAUCUAUUAGGAGUCAAUAAAUAACACAAACCCAAAAAAUGCAAAAGCCAUGUGAAGAUUGCACCUGAAAUAUAUGAUAAAAAUGCAGAACAGAUAUAUUAUGGAAAAAUAAUAAUACAGUUCCAUCUUAUCUAUACAAGUGCUAUCACAGUUUUUCUUUCGGUGCCAAAUUCUUCUGGAUGAUCAGCAGCAGAAAUGCAAUGAAGUUUCCCAUCUAAGCAUUUUCUGUUCUCUACAUUAUUUCAUUUCACCCCACUCUAGAUCUUAUAGGUCUGUGUUAAUAUUCAUCUGUAUUUAUUGAUACAGGGUCUGUUAAAUGUUUCCAUUUAUUUAAUUGUUUUGGUGUGUUUCAACACCAAUUGACUCAGGUUGCAGSUUCCAUUAAUCUUCCCUACUGACUGUGACAAAGCUCUCAUAAAUUUGUCCCACAAACACAAGUGGCAGAUCAUUUUUCAAAUUAGUUUCAUGUUACCUGGUGCAGGAGAAACUUCUUGUUGCCGUGACCAAGGACAGCACUUGUUAAACAACAGGGAAGCACUUCAGAAGUGACUGCUUUGGAUUUUGUUAGAUCAGGUAGCCUCCAAAAUAUUGAUAUGGAGCAGUCUGAACUAGACUGGCAGACAGAAUAUACUUUUGGAACGACUGCAGAAGUGUGUUUCUCUCUUGCAUAGAUUUCUUUGUUAUCAGCUGCAAUAUCAAAGUAAGUUUGCAGAGGGUUUAUAGACAUUUUUCUUCUAGACUCAAAACAAGAAACGAGCUGUUCAAAGCCACACAUUAGACGUGUGUAAAUAUGAUAAACACCUUUUUGGCUGGUCCAUUCAGGGGAAAUUGUUUCGUUUCCUCUCUUCCCACUUCAGGAAGAUGAAGAAAAGGCAGAGAAGAUAUUUAUAUUCAGCUACUACAUGGCAGAGAGUUUGAAGAUAAAGGUCAGGGAAGUGUGUGCCUUGGGAUGAAGGAACGAUGAAGGCCACGAGGCAGCUUUUGCGGAAGAUUGUGGAGUCUUUCCAGAAUAGAAAUGACAUUUUUGUUUCAUUAGUUGACUCCAGGCACAUCAGCAAUCCUGCCAACUGGACAAAAACCUGAAUGUGCUGAAUUUAUGGAGGAAAAAAGGGUCCAGACACGUGCCAAAGGGAGACUGCAACUGAAGGGGCUCACAGGAGAAGGAAGCAGCUCAGGAGAUAACGCUGAUGGAUUAGUGGAAUGAGAAACUUGUUCCAAAGGCAGCUUUACUGCUGAUCCUGUUUGUCUCACUUGAAUGAAAAGGAGAUGGGAAAACAUUAUCCUUCAUCAUAGCUGCUGCAGGAACAUCAAAGGCUGUCAUUGAAGAGACAGGCUCUUCAAGAAGAACAAAAAGAGACGAAUCACCAACCACAUUAGAGGGCUGAGCGGAGCAAGUGCAGGACUGGAAAGACAUGAUCUCCCUAAGGAUGCUGAAAGAACAAUAUUCCACGAGGUGGCAGGGUUGGUGACUGAGGUAAUUACAGGUGAGUGUUAGAUCCAGCUGUUAGAUCCUGAGCUCCGGGACACCUGAGCAUCACCCCUGAGCCUUGUCAGGACCUGGGACCUGGAAAUACUCGUCAGGAAUCCAGGUGAGGAAGGAGCAGUGCCUGGAGAACCUGCAGCAGAUUGAAACAGCUCUAAGGAGUGCAAGUGUCCUAAAGACACAUCUGUGUCUUAAACUCUCUGCCAGAGGAAAAAGAUACUAAAAAGAAUAAAAAUAUGGACUAAUUAUUAUUAGAAGUGAAAAAUCAAUGACAAAUAAUGGAUAGAAUACAACAGAGAGUUUCUCAGUCAAACACCUUACCUUUUAAGGUGGAAAAAAUAUUCUUACCAAUCUCAAUCUUGGAAAUACCUUAAACUUUCAAAAACAAAUAAACAAUGCACCCGAGCAGAAAAAAAAACCAAAAACCCUCUACUCUGAACCAUUCAAGUUGUUUAAUGUUGCAGGCAGUUAAUAAGACAUCUCACAAUAAUGUGUGCAGGGUUUUCUUAGUCCUGUAGGUGCACCACUCACCAUGGUAAUGACUGCCCAGUAUGUCUGUGAGUUGAAUAU